rnacentral:rRNA from 1 species
AGGAAUAUUGGUCAAUGGGCGCGAGCCUGAACCAGCCAAGUAGCGUGAAGGAUGAAGGUCCUAUGGAUUGUAAACUUCUUUUAUACGGGAAUAAAGUGGUCCACGUGUGGGCUUUUGCAUGUACCGUAUGAAUAAGCAUCGGCUAACUCCGUGCCAGCAGCCGCGGUAAUACGGAGGAUGCGAGCGUUAUCCGGAUUUAUUGGGUUUAAAGGGAGCGCAGACGGGGGAUUAAGUCAGUUGUGAAAGUUUGCGGCUCAACCGUAAAAUUGCAGUUGAUACUGGUUCCCUUGAGUGCAGUUGAGGCAGGCGGAAUUCGUGGUGUAGCGGUGAAAUGCAUAGAUAUCACGAAGAACCCCGAUUGCGAAGGCAGCCUGCUAAGCUGUAACUGACGCUGAGGCUCGAAAGUGUGGGUAUCAAACAGGAUUAGAUACCCUGGUAGUCCACACGGUAAACGAUGGAUACUCGCUGUUGGCGAUAUACUGUCAGCGGCCAAGCGAAAGCAUUAAGUAUCCCACCUGGGGAGUACGCCGGCAACGGUGAAACUCAAAGGAAUUGACGGAGGCCCGCACAAGCGGAGGAACAUGUGGUUUAAUUCGAUGAUACGCGAGGAACCUUACCCGGGCUUAAAUUGCAGACGAAUUACUUGGAAACAGGUAAGCCGCAAGGCGUCUGUGAAGGUGCUGCAUGGUUGUCGUCAGCUCGUGCCGUGAGGUGUCGGCUUAAGUGCCAUAACGAGCGCAACCCUCGUGGCCAGUUACUAGCAGGUAACGCUGAGGACUCUGGCCAGACUGCCAUCGCAAGAUGCGAGGAAGGUGGGGAUGACGUCAAAUCAGCACGGCCCUUACGUCCGGGGCUACACACGUGUUACAAUGGGAGGUACAGAAGGCAGCUACCCGGCGACGGGAUGCCAAUCUCCAAAGCCUCUCUCAGUUCGGACUGGAGUCUGCAACCCGACUCCACGAAGCUGGAUUCGCUAGUAAUCGCGCAUCAGCCACGGCGCGGUGAAUACGUUCCCG